AUAAAAAAACACAGCAACGUUAAAAAAAUUAAGUUUUUUAUUAUUAUUACGAUAUAAUUAUUUAUUAUUAUAAAUUAUUAUUCGUAUAUAAUUAUUAUUAUUAUGAUAUAAUAACAAUAAUACAAUAAUAACAAUUAGUUAUGAAUGUGUUGAAACUUUCAUGGAUAAAUCCUCAAGCUUUUCAAAUAACAAUUAGUUACUCACAAACAAGUUUAGUUAAAGAAUUAUGUUUGGUAUUUAUAAGUUUAUAUUACUCUUUUUAGAAAGUUAUUUUACAUGGUAUGAUUCGAGAUGCACAUAGUAGAAAGAUGUCUAAGAGUGUUGGUAAUGUUAUUGAACCUGAUGAUGUAAUUCAAGGUAUUUCAAUUAAAGGAAAUAGUCUAGAAUAUAAAAGUUAUAAUAGUUUAUUAAAUCUAAGGACAACGAUAAACAAAUUGCCAAAGUUGAAAAAACCUUUUUUAAUGAAAAUUAUAAGUUUAAAAUAUGCGAAGAUCAAGAAAUAAGAGAUAAUAAGUUUUAUUCACUGAAAAAAGAACUUGAAAGAGUAAAUAUGUAUAUUAUACUUUAAAAAAUAAAAAAAAAUUAGAAGAAUAUGAAGUUUAAUGAAACAUGUUGUAUACCUUUGAU